rnacentral:rRNA from 1 species
CUACCGGGGUUUCUAAUCCUGUUUGCUCCCCACGCUUUCGCGCCUCAGCGUCAGUGUCGGUCCAGAUGGCUGCCUUCGCCAUCGGUGUUCUUCCCAAUAUCUACGAAUUUCACCUCUACACUGGGAAUUCCACCAUCCUCUCCCGAACUCUAGUUCUCCAGUCUCAAGCGCGGUUCCCAGGUUGAGCCCGGGGCUUUCACGCCUGACUUGAAGUACCGCCUACGCGCCCUUUACGCCCAGUAAUUCCGAACAACGCUAGCCCCCUUCGUAUUACCGCGGCUGCUGGCAC